rnacentral:lncRNA from 1 species
UUUCUUUACAAUGACUUUAUUUUCUACUAAUGGUGCUCGGGGAGGCUCCCAAACCCCUGCAGGGAGGGAUCCACAGUUUUAAGACAGCCUUGGGUGUGGGGAUGCAGACCUGGUCAGCUGGAGGGGUUCUGCUCGGCCAGUAGGUACCACUUCCUGCUCCCACAUCAGCCGGAGCGUGGCGUGAAGGGCUGGUGGCGGCGAGGACACACCGGGGGAUUACCGCCUGCCUGGAGCAGCAGCCUCAGAGCGAGGAGGUGAGACCACAACACCCUCCCCUUCCCCGAGGCCUCCUUUGGCCUUUCUGAGCUUCCUCUGCUCACACAGGUAGGGAGCGAUACCAGCGGAAAAUAUCCUGUCGCUUCUGGGAGGCCGAAAGAGAAGGGCGCCGAGAGCCAGGGGAGAGCCCCCCGGUCGCAGCUUCCCUUCGGGUCCAGGGACUGCAGUAUGAAGGGCAAGGGCAGCUCAGAGAAUAGCUGAAUGCUUCUAAGCAAUGUUUAACCCAGGACUCCAAGGCACCAGCUGGUAACACUGCGCAGACCUCUCGCUUCCGCCCCAGGCUGUAAAACAGUUCACUGGCCCAGAACAUGGACCCGUGGGGAAAUUUAAAGCGCCACUGAAAUAGGAGAUGUCACCAUCUUCGUCUGCACUGUUGGUAUUACUACCAUUCCGGUUUCUUCUUCUGCUAAAAGUGGAUUCGUUCCCGGCACAGGAAUGAUAGCAACCUUACACCGAGCAUCGCUCGGCGCCAGGCGUCGUUCUUAAUUGUCUCUGCGCUCAGCCGGGAGCGGUGGGACGGAGCCGGGCGCGCAGGGGCGUGCAGUUCCCGCUGUGUCCGCUGGGUGGCGCAGGCGCCGCACUUACGGGAACCUGGUGCUGCAGGCGGCGGGCCUGACCUCGAGGGCCCCAUCUGCAGCCCAGGCCCUGGACGCCCCAGCCUGGACCUGGGAGGGCUGCUGCGGCCUGAUCCCGGCUCGGGUUCCUUCCCUUUGCUUUCCAAAAACUUUUCUCCUGGGGGAAUCGCAUCUCACGGAGCAGGCUCCAAGGCCACGGGCUUGACCACAGACUGGAAUGGGCCACCUGGAAGAGUGACAAAAAACAGACUUCACUGUUCAAGCUGAAAAUGCCCAGUAGAGGUCCAUUAAGAUAGCUAAAUAAAGUGCCUCGAGGGUCCUUCAAACACAGGACAACAAUGAGCACCUGAAGGACAGCAAAUGAACCAAGAGCACAGAUCAUCAGAAACAGAGCCAUUAGGAAGCAAACGCUGUGGGACUUGCUUGCUUUCUGAAGUGGAAUGAAGGGGCCAGUGAGGCACAGGCUGUGAAUUGCCGUUGU